rnacentral:rRNA from 1 species
UACGUAGGGGGCUAGCGUUGUCCGGAAUCAUUGGGCGUAAAGAGCGUGUAGGCGGUCCGGUAAGUCCGUUGUGAAAGUCAGGGGCUCAACCCUUGAAUGCCGGCGGAUACUGUCGGGCUAGAGUCCGGAAGAGGCGAGUGGAAUUCCCGGUGUAGCGGUGAAAUGCGCAGAUAUCGGGAGGAACACCUAUGGCGAAAGCACUCUGCUGGGCCGACACUGACACUGAGAGACGAAAGCUAGGGGAGCAAAUGGG